rnacentral:lncRNA from 1 species
AGAGAUCACUGACCAAUUCACUUGUUGGUUAUUUAUUAUUAGACUGACCAAUAAUUUUCUUACCCAGAAGCCAUUCUCUUGGAAUUUUUAAUUGUCAUACAACAUACCCUUCACAAAAUGAAUGGACUGCAUUCAUCAAGGACCUUUUAUCAACCCUUCCUAAGGGAGAAAACCUUAAUAACAACAACAAAGUUUACAGUUCCAGAAUUUUGACUUACCCUGGACACAUGGUUUUUCCUCACUUACAAGCCUCCUUCAGUUUCUAG